AAAAUUGACUAGUUGUUGAGAUGGACAAAUUGGGUUCAUAAACUUAAUACAUUGGGUUCAACAUUAGUGGAAAUGUGAAGAAUAAGGUGAUGCAUAAGCCAA